CAAAAUUGUCGCGACAAGCAUUAUUUUCUGCGUAAAAGUGACGAUACAAAACCGAAAAGAUUAAAUAAAACGAUUAGUUUAUAAUUGCACAGUAUCUUAAUUAUAAGGAGGUUUUGUUAUCGUAAGAGUUAACAGAGCAGCAUUCUAGGACACUAGGACACGAUAUCGAACGAGAAAACAACAAAUUAGUUGAAAGUUUUGUUGAACGAGGGAAGAUGGUGGACAAGUUGGUAAACAGCGAGGCAAAUGCCCGUAGGAUACAAAUGGUGGAGAACUGCUUUGGGGCAUCCGGUCAGCCGUUGUUCCUGCCUGGUCGAGUUCUGGUUGGCGAAGGAGUACUAACAAAAAUGUGUCGAAAGCGACCUAAGGCACGCCAGUUUUUUCUCUUCAACGACAUCCUUGUCUAUGGCAAUAUAGUUAUUGGUAAGAAAAAGUACAACAAACAACAUCUUAUACCUCUAGAAGAAGUUCAGCUACAAGCCCUUGAUGAUAACGGUCAGUAUCGAAACGGAUGGCUGAUACGGACAGCGACUAAGUCUUUUGCGGUAUAUGCUGCAACACAAACCGAAAAACAAGAAUGGAUGGCUCACAUCAACAAAUGUAUAGAAGAUUUGUUACGCAAAAGUGGUAAAAAGCCUGUUGAAACGCAUGCCGCUGUUUGGGUUCCGGAUAGUGAAGCCACUAUUUGCAUGCACUGUAAAAAGACUCAGUUCACUAUGAUUAAUAGAAGGCACCACUGCCGGAAUUGUGGUGCAGUAGUUUGCGGUCCAUGUUCGUCCAAAAAAUUUUUGCUACCAGGACAAAGUAGUAAACCGCUGCGUGUCUGCUUAGACUGCUAUGAUAAUCUCACUUCUAUGAAACGAGACGGGAAUAAAACGCUUUUGGCAAAUAACAAUAAAUCGGCCAACUCUCCUGAAAGUUCCGGUGAAGAUGAUUCCGGUGAUGAGGAAGAGGCUGCGAAAGACAACAAUACACAUGAUGAAAGAUUCACAAGUCAUUUUACAUCAACAACAGUCAUAUGUGUGUAACAGAGUAAAAUCAGAUCGAUCAACAGGCGAAGUAUGCUGAUCAUAAUCAAAUGAAUAGCUGAGAUUGCUAGAUUUUCGGUUCCUCCUUUAUGCUUAACUUCUAACAUGGGACGACUUUCAAUUAUAUAAUUCAUUCUAAUAUCAUAUUUCUAGCCUAAGUUCUACAGUGAUGAUAAACCAGAGAAAUAAUAAUACCAGCAAGGAAAAUGUCUAGUACGACACUAAAAAUUCAAUUACCGGAAAUAUGAACUAUACCGAUAGCACAUUUUUGGGUUUAAAAUAUACCAAUCAAUUUUAAUUCACACAUAAUGUUAAUGUCGUGCUGAUUUCAAACUAUGUCUGCUAUAUUCAUUACAACAAGGAUUAGAAAGGGUUUAUAUGACGAUAGAAAAGGCAUAGGCGUAAGAUUUUAUCUCAAUUCUCUUCAGCGCUCGUACUCGGAAUGUCAAAAGAGAAGCAGAAACCAGUUUAUUUUUAAUUGAUUGCAUAAAUAACUUUAUCACAUUCAUAAAUUUACAUUUAUCUUAUUGCUGUUAAAACAUCAAAAUUAGCUAACUGCGUUUUUUAAAUUUGUUAUACAUAUGCAUUUUAGUUGAAAUUACUGACCGAGCAGUAUGGUUUAGUAAUUCCUUUUUCGUUUUCUUGCAAUCUUAUGUUUUCUUGUAUCCUUAAUAUAACAAACUUCAGUCGUUUGAUCUAAUAAUUUUGAAUUCAUACUUUCGUUAUACUGAAUAUAGCUAGCAAUACGUGAAAGCUGAGAAUCUAUAAAGAACUAAACGAAUAAUUUAAUAAAAAUCAGCAAAACGUUGAAGAGCUUUGCCAAAAACGUAGCAAAAAGAUGCAGCGACCAUCGAAUCAAAUCAAAUCAUCGGGACUCGUUCAGUUCUAAUUGAGAAAUUAGGAAAAUUUACAAGAAAAAAGGUAACAAGCGAAUGUUUGAAAACUUGUAAGUAACUACAGUUAUUGAUUUGAUAUUGUACCCGGCUUCGUACCUCCUAACUGCUGUUACCUGUUAUUUCUGCUUAACUAAGUCUAUUAUUAGAGUCGGAAAGCAAUCGUUGAAAAGAUUAUACUUAAUAUAACAUCCAACAACGGCUACAUAGUGACGAAAAACAACAAACAUAGAGGAGAAUAUCCUUGGCGGAAGUGGUAGAGUAUGAAAAAACAACAUGUUUUGUGUUCUAUACUUUUUAUUAUAUUUAAAACUUGAUCAUAAACUAUACAAUAUUUCGGAAAUUGA